GAGAAGAUUUAUUUUUAAAUUUAUUAAUAUGGUUAUUGGUGUAGGGGUUAAAGAGGAAAGAAAUAUAAAAAGCGGUUUAAUAGUUAAAGAUAGGUUUAUUUUGGAUAAUAAAUUUGAGAGGGGUUUUUGGUUGAUUUUGGUUAGGAGUGUUGUUUUUUAUAGAUUAAGGGUGUUUAUUGGUUUUAGGGUGAUAAUGUUUAUUAUGGAUUUCGAAUAUUUUU
rnacentral:misc_RNA from 1 species